CUGGACUUACAACUCCAAACCCAUAUGUGAACAUACCCUCAGUUGCUUCGGCGGACCCGCCCCGGCGUCCGGACCGACCUCGCGUCGUCCGCGGCCCGGAUCCAGGCGGCCGCCGGAGACCCCAAACUCUUUGUAUUUACAGUAUCUUCUGAAUCCGCCGCAAGGCAAAACAAAUGAAUCA
rnacentral:misc_RNA from 1 species